GCCGUCCUUGUCUCGGGGUGGUCUGGGAAACUCGAUGAGCGUCUGGUGAGAGCUUCCCUGCUGACACCACGUCAACACACACGCACCACCUGAGCUCCGGCUUCAGGCUCGGUGCAAUUUUUGGAAAC
rnacentral:ncRNA from 1 species